CUAAAUCCCUGGGAAAUUGUAGAUUAUGGUUUACUGACUGAUCCACAGAACAGAAGGUGGCGGUAAUGCACCAUUAAGCUGUUUGCCAACCGCCGUUAAAGAAGAAGAAGAAGAAGAAGAAGAAGAAGAAGAAGAAGAAGAAGAAGAAGAAGACGAAGACGGAAACGGAAACGGGGAAGAGUUGCGCUAGCUGCUCACUGAUCGAUGCUAAUACUCCACGUUGAAGUCGGUGGGGGAGAGCAGUGCAUUGAUCCUUGUGUAUAUAAAAUGCCGCUCUCAGUCGCCCACGUUUGCUAUAAUGAAAAUUUGAGGCCGCGACUCAGCACAGGAUACAUUGGAGGAGAUGGCCUCACGUGACUCAGCAUGGAGGCGCUCCCAUCCUGAGACACACAGACCUCCAUGUGGCAGAGCAUUUGUGGAAAUGCGUAUUCAUGGAGAAGUGCAGUAAUGCAGGCUCAGCUGCUGGUCGUCCCACACUGGCCCAAAGAAACAGGGCUGCUACGACUGACCUCCAGACUGAGAAGAGAGGCCUGAGGACGGUCAACCAGUGGCUGCUUCUGAAGCAGGAACAUGAGAAAAAUAAUCAGCUCCUUCACUCAUGCUCCACAGUGGAAAGCAGUCACCAUCUGCCCUUCAAUGAUUGUUUGUACUUGAAAGAUGUUGUGGAUGUGAAUGUGCCUCACUCUUCUGUUUAUAAUAAACCUGUAACUGUU